rnacentral:rRNA from 1 species
AUUGAACGCUGGCGGCAGGCCUAACACAUGCAAGUCGAACGCGUGGCGGACGGGUGAGUAAUGUCUGGGAAACUGCCCGAUGGAGGGGGAUAACUACUGGAAACGGUAGCUAAUACCGCAUACCAUCGGAUGUGCCCAGAUGGGUUUAGCUUGUAGGUGAGGUAACGGCUCACCUAGGCGACGAUCCCUAGCUGGUCUGCGAGGAUGAUCAGCCACACUGGAAGUGAGACACGGUCCAGACUCCUAAGGGAGACAGCAGUGGGGAAUAUUGCACAAUGGGCGCAAGCAUGAAUCAGCCAUGCCGCGUGUAUGAAGAGGGCCUUCGGGUUGUAAAGUACUUUCAGCGGGAAGGCGUUACCCGCAGAAGAAGCACCGGCUAACUCCGUGCCAGCAGCCGCGGUAAUAC